rnacentral:lncRNA from 10 species
AAGUCCCAGCUCCUUUGAAUCUGAGGACACCCUUCUCCAUGAACAAUGCAUCAGCAAGUCUUUCAGAUUCUGUCUCCAAAGUCAAUCACAAAUCCAUCUUCUUCUCUCCAUCUCCAGUGCCACUCCUUUGAAGGUUAUGAUUACCUCUGGCUUAGACUAUUACAACACCUCCCAAAUGAGAUGGGAUUUCACCAUGAUGUCCAGGCUGGUCUAGAACUCCUGAGCUCAAGCAAUCCACCCUCCUUGGCCUCCCAAAGUGCUAAUAUUACAGGCGUCAGCUACCGCAUAUGGCCAAUUUUCUAAAUUCUUAAAUGCGAUUCUUUGGCAGUGUUGUUUUGUGACCAAAAAUAAAAUGGUUCCUAGAAAUAAACACAUCACCUAUUUCAUAAUAAAAAGGA